rnacentral:sRNA from 1 species
CUUGGGAAUCCAGGUCACUAGGAUGUACCCCCACUUCCUUGGGGGUGCAUGUAAGUUUCUCUGAAUGAGGAAAGGCAAAGGGAGGCUAGCCCAGGGUCAGUCCAUAAUUCAGUCCAUAACUGACUAGAGAUGCCCCAUCCCCCUGCCCCGGGCACCAGGGGAGUGGAACCAGGUGAGAGCAGGGGGAGAACCACUGGAUGCCUGCUACCUGAAGGCCCUGGAGGGCUUCGUCAUGGUGCUCACCGCCGAGGGAGACAUGGCUUACCUGUCGGAGAAUGUCAGCAAACACCUGGGCCUCAGUCAGCUGGAGCUCAUCGGACACAGCAUCUUUGAUUUCAUCCACCCCUGUGACCAAGAGGAGCUUCAGGACGCCCUGACCCCCCAGCAGACCCUGUCCAGGAGGAAGGUGGAGGCCCCUACGGAGCGGUGCUUCUCCUUGCGCAUGAAGAGUACGCUCACCAGCCGCGGGCGCACCCUCAACCUCAAGGCGGCCACCUGGAAGGUGCUGCACUGCUCUGGACAUAUGAGGGCCUACAAGCCCCCUGCAC